UCCAGACUCCUACGGGAGGCAGCAGUGGGGGAUAUUGCACAAUGGGGGGAACCCUGAUGCAGCGACGCCGCGUGGGUGAAGAAGCGCCUCGGCGCGUAAAGCCCUGUCAGCAGGGAAGAAAAUGACGGUACCUGAAGAAGAAGCCCCGGCUAACUACGUGCCAGCAGCCGCGGUAAUACGUAGGGGGCAAGCGUUAUCCGGAUUUACUGGGUGUAAAGGGAGCGUAGACGGCGCUGCAAGUCCGGAGUGAAAGCCCAUGGCUUAACCAUGGUACUGCUCUGGAAACUGUGGAGCUUGAGUGCGGGAGGGGCAGGCGGAAUUCCUAGUGUAGCGGUGAAAUGCGUAGAUAUUAGGAAGAACACCAGUGGCGAAGGCGGCUUGCUGGACAGUAACUGACGUUGAGGCUCGAAAGCGUGGGGAGCAAACAGGAUUAGAUACCCUUGUA
rnacentral:rRNA from 1 species